UUGCUAACACUACUCUUUUCAUUUGUGUUCUGGUUGAUUCCAAAACUCUCAAACUAAGGUCGAGUAACUCAAAAACAAGAAACACUGCCCUCACUGCCAAUUAAUCAAUCACCUUCGCCAGGCAUCAGUUCAAAAUCUUUGUACAAGGGAUUUAGCACUUUCAAGUGAUUUGGUGUUAGAUACCUUGUUGAUUUUUCAUAAUUUCCUAUUUACUCAAUUUCCAUCGAGAGCAAACCAGAAAGAGGCAGCCACAGUGGAGUUCCUUCCUCAAAUAUCUCAAUGAUUAUUGGCAAGAAGAAGAAAGACUAGUGGCAAUUAUCUGCAUUUGAAUCAUACAAUGAGUUCUGGUUCUUUGAAGUUCAUUGAUUCCCUUUGAAUUCUUGGCAUUUUUUAGUUUAAUCGUGGUGUUUAAUUCUGCAAUAGCUCCUUAGAUUGAUCUAGAUUCCAAGAUAACAAAGGUUGGGCAGAAAAUAUGAAAUUCAAGCAUUUGUUGAAGUGUUCUCAAGAACGCCAAAUAUUUGGUGCUAUCAUUCUAUCUCUAUCUUUAUUUUUAGCAAAUACCAUAUGAUCAACUUAAGUAGGUUUAAGUUAUUUUCUAUCUGAACUACUGUAUUUUUUUUUAG
rnacentral:lncRNA from 1 species